GUCUAUGACCAUAUCACCCUGAACAAGCCCGAUCCCAUCUGAUCUCAGAAGCUAAGCAGGGUCAGGCCUGGUUAGUAAUUGGAUGGGAGACCACCUAGGAAGACCAGGUGCUGUAGGCA
rnacentral:rRNA from 1 species